GAUCCCAUCCCGAACUCAGAAGUGAAACAAUGCAUCGCCGAUGGUAGUGUGGGGUUUCCCCAUGUGAGAGUAGGUCAUCGUCAAGA
rnacentral:rRNA from 1 species